rnacentral:rRNA from 1 species
AUGAACGCUGGCGGCGUGCCUAAUACAUGCAAGUCGAGCGAACAGAUCAGGAGCUUGCUCCUUUGACGUUAGCGGCGGACGGGUGAGUAACACGUGGGUAACCUACCUAUAAGACUGGGAUAACUUCGGGAAACCGGAGCUAAUACCGGAUAACAUUUGGAACCGCAUGGUUCUAAAGUGAAAGAUGGUUUUGCUAUCACUUAUAGAUGGACCCGCGCCGUAUUAGCUAGUUGGUAAGGUAACGGCUUACCAAGGCAACGAUACGUAGCCGACCUGAGAGGGUGAUCGGCCACACUGGAACUGAGACACGGUCCAGACUCCUACGGGAGGCAGCAGUAGGGAAUCUUCCGCAAUGGGCGAAAGCCUGACGGGGCAACGCCGCGUGAGUGAAGAAGGGGUUCGGGUUGUAAAACUCUGUUAUUAGGGAAGAACAAACGUGUAAGUAACUGUGCACGUCUUGACGGUACCUAAUCAGAAAGCCACGGCUAACUACGUG